AUUGAACGCUGGCGGCAUGCCUAACACAUGCAAGUCGAACGGCAGCACAGCAGUAGCAAUACUGUGGGUGGCGAGUGGCGGACGGGUGAGGAAUACGUCGGAAUCUGCCCAGUCGUGGGGGAUAACUAGCCGAAAGGUUAGCUAAUACCGCAUACGACCGAGAGGUGAAAGCGGGGGACCGCAAGGCCUCGCGCGAUUGGAUGAGCCGACGUCGGAUUAGCUAGUUGGCGGGGUAAAGGCCCACCAAGGCGACGAUCCGUAGCUGGUCUGAGAGGAUGAUCAGCCACACUGGAACUGAGACACGGUCCAGACUCCUACGGGAGGCAGCAGUGGGGAAUAUUGGACAAAUGGGCGCAAGCCUGAUCCAGCAAAUGCCGCGUGUGUGAAGAAGGCCUC
rnacentral:rRNA from 1 species